GAAGAAUGACGAAAGAGAAGUGGGGCGGAGCGAGGCGGGGGAUGGAAUUGACUGUUGCUAAGCAACAGAAUAAGCCCGUUAGCGACCGCCCUUCCCUUUUCACCAAUCAAAAGUGCCUGCUCUGUGCCAGGUGAAAAAAUAUCUGCUCUUAGAUGGACAAGUAAAGUCUUGGAAACAACCUUAUGAAUUUGAGAAAUUCAGAGAUUCUGAGUCUAAUCGGGUUGAAGUGGAAUAGCAUCAAGGAAGCAGUCUCAACUACUCCAAUGCUUUUGAAGAAAAGACUACAAAUAAGAAGAUUGGCCUAAGAUUGGCCUUUUUGUUAGCAGAUAAUGCAAAGCUGAGAUGAAAAGAAAAUGCAAAAUUAGCAAUCCUAAAAAUUGCUUUGUUUUUAUAGGGUUUAACUAUCAGUUUAUGUUUUGAGUUGUUACUGAAUUCUAUUUUUAAAUUGUUCCUUAAUGAUCAUAUAUGUAUCUUAUAUUUAGAUAAUGGUUUAUGGGAACAAAUUACAAUCUAUUUCAUACCUCA